UCGUGGUCUAAUGUUCAGAAUAACACGCUUCUAAUGCUUAGUCCUGGGUUCGAUUCCCAGGAGCUCAC